rnacentral:misc_RNA from 1 species
GAAAAGAAAAUGUAAGAUAUUGCCCAAGCUAGUGGCCAUGAACUCGUCAAGUUCAUUCAAUUUAUUGCUGUCAAAUUAUAAGAGCAAAUCCCUUAAGUUCCUUGAUACAUGAUCAGUCAAAAUUGUCAAUUUUGAUUGGAUUAAUCUCAUCUGCAACAUUGAAGUUUCCAACCAAUCGUGCAAAAAACACCAUUUCUUGUUCCAGCGUAAAUUUAAUAUUUUCAGCCUUACGAAAACCAUGCUGUUCCCCUUCAUACUCGACAAGAGCAACUGGCAAACCCUUCUUCUUCAGUGCCUGGUAUAUUGUACGAGCUUGAUCAGGGGGUACAACCUUAUCUUCUAAUCCUUGGAACAAAAUUAUGGGGCAAGAAAAUCUAUCAACAAAAUUUAUUGGAGACCUCUCAUAGUAAUCCUUUUCAUCACCAAUAAGAUUAUCAAGGUAAUGAGACUCAAAUUUGUGAGUUUCUGCUCUUAACAUGCUUAAGUCAGCCACACCAUACAAUGAAGCUCCAGCCUUAAAUGUUUCUUUAAAAGCAAGGGCAGCUAAGGUUGUAUAACCGCCGGCUGAGCCACCAGUUAUACACAGUCGGCCACCAUCUGCCUUUCCACUAUCCACCAAAAAUUUUGCACAACUGCAACAGUCAUUAACAUCAACAAUUCCCCAGUUUCCUAAUAAGCGUUCUCGAUAUUCUCUACCAUAACCAGUGCUUCCACCAUAAUUUACAUCCACAAAAGCCCAUCCACGACUUGUCCAAUACUGGAUACUCAGAUUCAAAAUUCCGCGCGUUUCACUUGUAGGUCCUCCAUGACUUUUCAACAACAAUGGAGGCUUUUCUUCUGGACUAGCAUGGUAAAUGGGAUUCAAAGGUGGAUAAAAGUAUGCAUAUGCAUUUUGACCAGGAACUCCAGUAGGGAAUUCAAUCAGCUCUGGCAAGCUGAAAUAUGACGUAUACUUUAAACUAUCGGGUGAUGAUGACCAAACAACCUUGAAAUCAACUACUUUGGAUCCUUGGUCAUCCAAAUUCACCUUAGCCACUGAUGAUGGAUGAACUGCAGAUGCGCCCUCGACGUAUAGACAAUGGUGCCCUGAAGUAAUAUUAUCUAUGUCUGUGAAGGGAAUAUCAAGCAGAGAAAGUGAGCUUUGAGCACAGUCCAGAAUACCAAGACAGGAUCUACCCUUCUGCCUGUAGCUGCAAGCAAUUAAGUUCUUUCCCUCUUUGUUCUGAACAAGCUCAUAAGAGUUUAUGCCGAAUACCCAUAAUGGUCUUGAGAACUCAGCAUCCAAGGAAUAGAGUGCUUGCACAUCAUUUACAGAUUCAAUCCAUUUGUAUAGAUUCCAAAAUCCAUUUUUUCUGUCAGUGAUAAAGAAUAACUCCCCUGUAGAGGACCACUUGGGUUCAGUUGGAGAUUCAACAAUUGUAUUAUCAUUGCCAGCAACACAGGUGCAUUUAUAGAUAUCUCCAUUCUNAAUAUAGCCAACCCAGAGUUCCGAUUUAUCCCAUGGCAUGUUAGGGUGACACCAUUCUAUCCAUGCUAUCCGUUCACCUUUCGGGUCCACACGAGGGAAUGCAUAGAAGUCAUUGCCACUAACUAAUACUUUUGGUUCCUCUAUUGACGCAUCAUUGAGACCAAUUGCUACAAUCGUUGUAAUUGCAUUUAUGCUGCUUACACGGCGAUCUUCCAUUACAGUGACAAAACGGUUAAAGCGUGAAUCAAAGACUCCAUCGGCAUAAGAGACAACUGGUGAGCCACAAUCAGGUGUAAUUGGAACAGGAGUAGAAUCUAUGGAAUCGACAGAUUGCUUGUACAGUCUUUGGUCCUUGUAAUUUGCGAAGAUGACAGUAUCCCCUGAUAUCGUAAACGCGCCUCCUCCAUACUCCUGGGCAGUAGUUCGCACCGAAAAUUCUUUCGGGGUGACAUCGAUAGCUUCCUCUCCAGCUUUCUCUUCUCCCUUAACCAGAACCGAUCGCCCAGCUUCAGUGGGUNGCUUCAGUGGGUCGGGAUUCAAGCCAGAAGAGGCGACCGCGGCCGUCAAUGGCGGUACCGUCGAGUCGCUUGGAUGCGCCAGAGACGAUAUCGGCGGUGAUUGGAGACUUCCAAGAGCCGUAAGGAGCAGUGACUUUAUCUUGUCUAGCAGCUGAUUCUACUGGCUGUACUGAAGAAGCCAUCGUUCUACAGCUACAAUGAUGCUGCCUCUUGGGGAAGAUGGUACCGGUGAUUACACGAAUAUGGCUAAAUUUGAAGAGACUACAAGAAUGAGAAUAAGAUGGAGCAGAUAAGCGAG